CGUAGGGGAGGCAGCAGUAAGGAAUAUUGGGCAAUGGGCGAAAACCUGAUCCAGCCAUGCCGCGUGAAGGAUUAAGGUCCUUUGGA
rnacentral:rRNA from 1 species